UGAAGCCUUUCCAGAGCUACCAAGAAUGUCACUUCAUUCACUUCCAGGCUGAGGAGGAAGAGAGAUGGAGGAGGACCCGGGCACACAAGCUACAAUGAAAGUCGACUAGCAGGUUUCAGCUGAAGACAUAUCUAAAAUGCUCUGAAAUGGUUCAGCACAAGUCUUUCUGGUCUCUUCUCAAAAGCAGGAAAUGAUGACAUUUGGCAUAUCUCUGUUCUGUCCUGGAAUGCCCAUCACCAGAUUUUUGUGUAGCCCAGAAUGAUCCCCUUUAGUGGAAGAAGAAGAAAGAAGAGGAGAAGAAAGAGGGGAGGAAGAAAUAUCCUUAUCAUUAAAGCCUAAUCAGCUUGUUUUUCUGUAACAUCUUACUGGUAAGGGUUGAGAGUGUACUGGGACUUAAUUUUUCUUUUAAAUGGAUCUGUCACCUACCCUUGUGGAGAUGGUAAAGGAUAGAUGC